rnacentral:rRNA from 1 species
GGCGGCGUGCUUAACACAUGCAAGUCGAACGAUGAAGACUGGUGCUUGCACUGGUUGGAUUAGUGGCGAACGGGUGAGUAAUACGUGAGUAACCUGCCUUUGACUCUGGGAUAAGCCUGGGAAACUGGGUCUAAUACCGGAUAUGACAAGGAACCGCAUGGUUUUUUGUGGAAAGGGUUUGUACUGGUUUUAGAUGGGCUCACGGCCUAUCAGCUUGUUGGUGGGGUAAUGGCUCACCAAGGCGACGACGGGUAGCCGGCCUGAGAGGGUGACCGGCCACACUGGGACUGAGACACGGCCCAGACUCCUACGGGAGGCAGCAGUGGGGAAUAUUGCACAAUGGGCGCAAGCCUGAUGCAGCGACGCCGCGUGAGGGAUGACGGCCUUCGGGUUGUAAACCUCUUUCAGCAGGGAAGAAGCGAAAGUGACGGUACCUGCAGAAGAAGCGCCGGCUAACUACGUGCCAGCAGCCGCGGUAAUACGUAGGGCGCGAGCGUUGUCCGGAAUUAUUGGGCGUAAAGA